UUUGGGGUUCCUUUUCUUUCUUUAUAUUAAAUGUUUGUAGUUUUAUAUCAUCUUUGACGCUCAGUUCCCUCGAGUUCGAGAGACAAAGCUAGUAGGCAAUUAAGCUUUUAAUACUUUUUUUCUUUUCCAAAAAUCUAAUGUUUCAUCAUUGUAAUUUACACAUUUCUAGGAGACGUGACCAUGCAUUUAGGAUUUGAAAUUUUUUAGAAUGGAGUAGUUAACAAUGCUGAACCCUUAAUUAAU
rnacentral:lncRNA from 1 species